AUAGGGGCUCGCCAAAUGCCAUAUAAAAUUUUGGCUAAAUUAUAAAAAAUCUUUUUGUUAAAAUUCGAUUUUUCAAUUUUUUUCACUGUCAUUUAAAAAUCUAUACUUUUCUGUUUUAUAAAAUGAAAAAUGUUCACUUCACCCCUACCUUUAGUGAUCCGUUAGGGUUCCGUUAUAAAAUAUUUUUUUUAUACCAAAAAUAUCCUCUGCUUUCUCUACCGUUGCUUCGCCCUUCUCUGCCUCGCCGCCUUGCCACCUCGCCCCCGCCCACAUCUCCGUCCGCGUCCACAAACACCCCUUUGCCCUCCUCCGCCGCCUCGCCUUCACUCUCGUUGCCCUUACCCACCUCUCUAUCCACGCCUAUCUCGAUUUCCUCCCUACUAUCGCCAAAAUGGAGGGGCGAUAAGAGUGCAGGAGGAGAAAGGGAGGAGGUGGAGAAGAAAAUAGAAAGGAAUCGUGGCUGAUCGAGACGCAAACCGUGGCCGAUCGAGCAGCGAACCGCGGCUGAUCAAGGCGGUGGAUGAGCAAGAUGAGGGAGGAGACGAAAAUGGUGAAGAGCAAACUUGUCAUUUUGUCAUCACAGUUCACACCGUACUCCCCUGUGAAUAUUUUUCAUUUUACAAGAAAACAAAGUGUAGAUAUUUAAAUAACGGGGGGAAAGUGAAAAAUCGGGUUUUGACAAGAAAUUUUUAUGUAAUCCAGCCUAAAAUUGUUUGGAUGCACCUAUUGCACAUUCUGAAAUGUGUAUCAGAAAUAAAUUUAUAUUGUACAACAAAUUAUUUAAGUAUUUUAUAUUAUAUUUUAUUUUACAAUAUUAAUUAUCAAAUAUUUUAUCAAUUAUCUAAUAAAAUGUACUAUAUAUAUAUAUA
rnacentral:lncRNA from 1 species